rnacentral:rRNA from 1 species
GCCGAACGCUGGCGGAGUGCUUAACACUUGCAAGUCGAACGAAGUGGCGAACGGGUGAGUAAUACGUGGGUAACCUGCCCUCCUUUUUGGGAUAAGCCUUGGAAACGGGGUCUAAUACCGUAUUAAGGGGGAUGGGCUCGGGGCCUAUCAGCUUGUUGGUGGGGUGCUGGCCUACCAAGGCGGUGACGGGUAGUCGGCCUGAGGGGGUGACCGGCCAAAUAGGGGCAGGGAUACGGCCAAGACUCGUACGGGAGGCAGCAGUGGGUGGUAUUGCACAAUGGGCGAAAGGCUGAUGCAGCGACGCCGCGUGGGGGAUGAAAGCUUUCGGGUGGUAAACCGCUUUAGAUAUCGAACGAGUAGGUGGAGGAGAAGCGCCGGAUAACGACGUGCCAGCAGCCGCGGUAAUAC